rnacentral:rRNA from 1 species
UACGAAGGGGGCUAGCGUUGCUCGGAAUGACUGGGCGUAAAGGGCGCGUAGGCGGUUUGGACAGUCAGAUGUGAAAUUCCUGGGCUCAACCUGGGGGGCUGCAUUUGAUACGUUCGGACUAGAGUGGGGGAAGAGGGUCGUGGAAUUCCCAGUGUAGAGGUGAAAUUCGUAGAUAUUGGGAAGAACACCGGUGGCGAAGGCGGCGACCUGGUCCGUGACUGACGCUGAGGCGCGAAAGCGUGGGGAGCAAACAGG